CUGUUAAUAUUUUCAUUUAGGUAACAGAUGAUUUCAGCUGUCUUUUCACAUGGCUAGCAAAGAAAUCACAAACUCAAGACAGCAUCGUUUUAAAGCAGUGAAUGGCCACAGCUCUGAAAUCCGAGGAUGCUAUUCCAGUCUCUGUGGAAUGCUGUGCAGCCUACUGAAAUAAAGCAGAAAGACUAGAGCCUGCACUAAGUAGCAUGAGAAUGCAUCAUAUAAACCUUACAGCAUAACAUUAAAGGAAAUGACAAGUGGAAGAAUGGCAAUACUUUCUUUAAUGAAGAAAAUAUGAUUUUUAGCCUUGAAAGAGUAACUUUUUUAUCCAGUCUGAAGGACUAAACCCAAGUGCUAUACAGACUCAAAGCCAACCUCUGAAAUUUUCAGGUACAACCAAGUACUUCAGGCAGCAUGUUUAAUUUAGGAGUGUUCACUGGUUUUGAUUUGACUCACAUUUACAUUCAAACUUCGAAGAAUAAAAAGACACAACGAUUA